rnacentral:rRNA from 1 species
AGCAGUCGCCGCGGGAAUACGAAGGGUGCAAGCGUUACUCGGAAUUACUGGGCGUAAAGCGCGCGUAGGUGGUUUGUUAAGUUGGAUGUGAAAUCCCCGGGCUCAACCUGGGAACUGCAUCCAAAACUGGCAAGCUAGAGUAUGGUAGAGGGUGGUGGAAUUUCCUGUGUAGCGGUGAAAUGCGUAGAUAUAGGAAGGAACACCAGUGGCGAAGGCGACCACCUGGACUGAUACUGACACUGAGGUGCGAAAGCGUGGGGAGCAAACAGGAUUAGAUACCCCCGUAGUCCCUGUCUCUUAUAC